AGGUAGGAAGACCCGCUGAACUUAAGCAUAUCAAUAAGCGGAGGAAAAGAAACCAACAGGGAUUGCCCUAGUAACGGCGAGUGAAGCGGCAACAGCUCAAAUUUGAAAUCUGGCUUCGGCCCGAGUUGUAAUUUGCAGAGGAAGCUUUAGGCGCGGCACCUUCUGAGUCCCCUGGAACGGGGCGCCAUAGAGGGUGAGAGCCCCGUAUAGUUGGAUGCCUAGCCUGUGUAAAGCUCCUUCGACGAGUCGAGUAGUUUGGGAAUGCUGCUCAAAAUGGGAGGUAAAUUUCUUCUAAAGCUAAAUACCGGCCAGAGACCGAUAGCGCACAAGUAGAGUGAUCGAAAGAUGAAAAGCACUUUGAAAAGAGGGUUAAAUAGCACGUGAAAUUGUUGAAAGGGAAGCGCUUGUGACCAGACUUGCGCCGGGCGGAUCAUCCGGUGUUCUCACCGGUGCACUCCGCCCGGCUCAGGCCAGCAUCGGUUCUCGCGGGGGGAUAAAGGUCCUGGGAACGUAGCUCCUCCGGGAGUGUUAUAGCCCGGGGCGUAAUGCCCUCGCGGGGACCGAGGUUCGCGCAUCUGCA
rnacentral:rRNA from 1 species